UCUUCGGUUGCAAAAAAGGGCAAGAGGAUCAGAGGAGUUACCGUGAUCCAUUGUUGUUCUCUAUCUUAAGUUUUUAUUUCUCUCUCUAGAAUUUUCUAUCUGCUCGUCCUUCCUCACAAAUUAGGGUUUUUGCGAAUCUCUUGUUAGUCUGUAAUCGAAUCGAAGCCAUGGUUUCCGAUUCAAUCUCUGCCGUGCCGAUUCCCUCCGCUGCAAACACUAAGAACCCCGGGAAGAAGAAGAGGACUAACAGGUCUGCAAAAUUGAAGCAGUAUAAAAUCGAUGCGCGCCGCGAACAGUGGCUUUCCCAAGGUGUGGUGAAGAGUAAGGGAUGCAAGGACGGUGUGGACAAUAGCGUCGUUCACGCGCCGCCGCCGUCGGUGAAUCACGGCAAGCACUCCUUGGAGCCUCUUAACACGAGGCGCGAAGGCGAAGAAGACGACGGAUUGAUUCAUCAUGACAGCGAUUCGGAGUCUCCUACCAACUGUCCUGCCGGCGUAUUGUGCGGCAAUGAUUCGGGAACAAACUUCACCGGAAGCAGUAGUGGCGGGAGCAGCAGCAGCAGCAGUUCAAGCAGCGGCGGGUGCUGUUCCGGGAACAUUACCGAGGAGGAAGAGGAGGAGGAAGAAGAAGGCGAGGACGAAGAUGAUGGUUGCUUGGAUGAUUGGGAGGCCAUGGCAGAUGCUUUAGCCGCCGAUGACAAGCACGAAAUUCCUUGUUCUGAUUCACCCCCUGUUGUUUUGCCUCGUGAAGGAUCCAAUUUAGAGUCUCCGAAUUCAAAACCCGAGAGUAGUAGAUUGGUUCCUUGGGGCUCUGGUAGUAGCCGAGCGUGGAGGGCUGAUGACGCCUUUCGCCCUCAGAGUUUGCCCAAUUUGUCUAAGCAGCACAGUAUGCCGAACCCUGAUCGCCGCUGUGUUGGAGGGGUCCCCUGGGCUCGUGUCUCCACGCCUUCCUCGUGUCCUAUUUGCUGUGAGGAUCUGGAUUUGACGGACACGAGUUUCUUGCCUUGUUUCUGUGGGUUUCGGCUUUGCCUCUUUUGCCACAAGAGGAUUCUGGAGGAGGAUGGGCGUUGUCCCGGGUGUAGGAAGCCUUAUGAGUGUGAACCUGUUGAGACAGAGGCGAGUGUGCAUGGAGGCAACCUCACUCUUCGGUUGGCACGUUCCUGCAGCAUGAUCGAGAGGUCUUGAGCCCGCGUUUUUAUCGUCUUUGAAUGAUACUUUGAUUUAUGAGUGGGAAGAGGGGCGGCGACGACGACGUAAGGAAAAGAAGGGGGAAGCAUGGGAUAAUAAAAUCCACCCAAAUAUUGGAGGGCAUUUGAAGGAACAGACAAUAUACCGGUGUUAAAUGUAAGUAUGAAGACAGGUCAAUAGUGUUUUCAAGUUUUUCAAGGUAUGGGAGUAUCUUUAUGGCAUUGUUGUGCAUUAAUCUUAUAGGUUUGAUUCAGUUUUGGUCAAAGAAUAAUUUGUCCUUCCUGCUUCCUUGGGGUUCAAAUAAGUGGUACAUGACUGGUCUACCAUUGAUUUCAAUCAACUACCAUCCGAUCAUCAUCUUGACUCCUUGUAAUCUUUCAAAAUUGUUACUGGUUUGGGGUUUGUUGUAGUGUAGACAAUGGAACUGAUCACGUGAAAGGUACUAAAAAUAUUUGUCGAUGCCUUGUGAGCUAUGGUUAUACAAUCUGUACUUGUAUUAUGUUAAAUGCUUCAUUUGGGAAGAGUUGAUCUUAUGAGAAAUAUGAACCUUUUUCUUA